rnacentral:rRNA from 1 species
AGAGUUUGAUCCUGGCUCAGGACGAACGCUGGCGGCGUGCCUAACACAUGCAAGUCGAACGGAGACUUAACGCUGAAUUGAAGAAAGCUUGCUUUAAGAUAUUCUUGUUAAGUCUUAGUGGCGGACGGGUGAGUAACGCGUGAGUAACCUGCCUUUCAGAGGGGAAUAACGGCUGGAAACGGUCGCUAAUACCGCAUAAAGUAUCGAAGCCGCAUGACUUUGAUACCAAAGAUUUAUCGCUGAAAGAUGGACUCGCGUCCGAUUAGAUAGUUGGUGGGGUAACGGCCUACCAAGUCGACGAUCGGUAGCCGGACUGAGAGGUUGACCGGCCACAUUGGGACUGAGAUACGGCCCAGACUCCUACGGGAGGCAGCAGUGGGGAAUAUUGCACAAUGGGCGCAAGCCUGAUGCAGCAACGCCGCGUGAGGGAAGACGGUCUUCGGAUUGUAAACCUCUGUCUUUGGUGAAGAAGAAAGUGACGGUAGCCAAGGAGGAAGCCACGGCUAACUACGUGCCAGCAGCCGCGGUAAUACGUAGGUGGCAAGCGUUGUCCGGAAUUACUGGGUGUAAAGGGAGCGCAGGCGGGACUGCAAGUUGGAUGUGAAAUGUCGAGGCUUAACCUCGGAACUGCAUCCAAAACUGUAGUUCUUGAGUGGAGUAGAGGCAAGCGGAAUUCCGAGUGUAGCGGUGAAAUGCGUAGAUAUUCGGAGGAACACCAGUGGCGAAGGCGGCUUGCUGGGCUCUAACUGACGCUGAGGCUCGAAAGUGUGGGGAGCAAACAGGAUUAGAUACCCUGGUAGUCCACACUGUAAACGAUGAUUACUAGGUGUGGGGGGUCUAACCCCCUCCGUGCCGGAGUUAACACAAUAAGUAAUCCACCUGGGGAGUACGACCGCAAGGUUGAAACUCAAAGGAAUUGACGGGGGC